UGUCCGUGGUGGCAGCGAGAGUCAGAUGAAGAAAGACAGCUGUAUACAUGCCAACAGCAGCAGGAUGCUGCGCUGGACUCGUGCUCUGCCUGCCCAAGAUGUGCCAAAUUCGCUGGCCCAGAUUCAGAUGGCUGGGUGUCCACUUGGUGUGCCAGCAAGUAAGCCCGGGAACACAUUUGCAUUAACACCGCUUGGCCACCUCCCCCUGUUCCUGCCUCCCGCGCUGCAUACAACAUCGGUCUUCAUCCCAGAAUGUCAUCUUGAGGCUGCUUUUCAGAACCAGUGUUUCAGCGAAACAUGAGGAUUCCAGGUAUUGAACUCAGACCCUUGUGCUCCCACAUCAAGCACUUUUAUGAGCUGAGCUUGUUUCCUACUCCCAUGUGACUUUUGAUAGAGGAUCCAUCUAGUCUAUCUAGUCCAGCAAAAAGUUUUCUGCUAAGUCAUGUUGAAACAUGACAUCCACAUAGGGAAAGAAUUCACCUCAGUCUGCCAUCAUACCGUCCACAGCAAACAGUCAAGUGGUAAAAAGUUACUGACUGUGUCUCAUCAUGACAAAGGGCCAUCUGGCUGCUUUAGAGUGAAGGCUUCCAAGAAAAUGGGGACAGUACCGGAUUUCUAGGCUAUUCUGCAGAGACUGGAAUAGCACAGCACAGGCCGUGAGUAGUCGUGGUCAGUAUGUGAUUUUUAGAAAAUUAAAGGUAGGAAUCAAAAGGGAUUUUGUAGCAUUACUCACAAAUGGACAAUGGAGACUCUUCGGUGACCUGCUUCAGCCUAUAUGAUCCGGGUCCUGUAUUUCUUGGUGUUAAGGACAGGUGGUCUCCGUUAGUGCUCCACACUGACUGACAUCUGUGUCACCCUGGGACCCUUAAGAAUGGGACGAUCAUGGGCCUCCUGGAAAACUACUCAGUUCAUUUUUUCAGGAUCUUGUCUGAGAGUUGAGGAGAGAAAGAAAGGACAUUGAAAUAGUUGAGGAGCAAGAGCCUUCCCCAGAUGUUGGGGAAAGGGAAGCCAGUUCCCGGAUGAGGAAUUGUUCAAUGAACUCAGAGUACCUGACCACAGCCUGCAUUAACCAAAGGCUCACCAAAAUGAUAAUGGACAACCAGCAGGUGCAGCUUCAAGAGUCCUGGGCUUUUACCCUCAUCAUCUACAACAGUUCCUUUCCCUCUGAACACAGUUCCUUCCCUCUCGCCUCGAGAAUGCUUUCAGAGGAAGAGGUUGCCUAGAAGGUGUACAAUCCCACAUGCUGUCAAAGAGAAGAAGCUGGGGUCCCUUCUGGUGGGUGGUAGUCAGUGCCCAUGUGUAAACUCCACCUACCUCAGUGGCAGCCAAGUCACCAUGGCAGGCUGUGGGAACCCAUUUCAGGAAGUUGAUAUUUGCUGCGCAGAUGGCCCAACAAUGUUCUCAAAGAAGUGGAAACUGUUUCCGUUUUAAGUUUGUGAAACUUGGUGUGUGUACGUGUAUGUGUGAAUUUUUCAAUUUUAUUUGUAGUAUCAAUAUGCAAAUUUAUUUAUUAUAAGUUGAAUCCCAUUGAAAUGAAAAUGAAAAGGCAAUACUGUUCCUUUAAUAUGGUUCACUAACCUUGUUCACACUGAGUUACUGAUGCUCAGUAGGAGCUGGCCAACACCAGUUCUACUCAACCCUUGAUGAUUAUGGAGGAUUUAAUUAUAAUUGAAAAUGAAAAAAAAACUCACUAAAAUCUAAUCCAAAAAUCAAUUUUGCAUAGAAUUUAAUAACAGAUGGAAGCUUAAAGUUCUGUAAGUAUCAAAUGAAAAACACUAACACGAAGACCUAAGACUUCAGUCUCCAGAGUCAGUCUCACUACCUGUGUGGAUGCAUCCUGACCUCUCCUCUUUCAUCAACUUCAUGACAAAGGAAUUGGCCUCAUGCUGAGGCAUGGUAAAUACAUUAUGAAAUAAAAGCGGACGUCAUAAACAAUACCGGCCGUGUGAAACAAAGGCGAACCAGAGGCUGUGGACAAUUUCUCCCUCUCUUGUAUGUAGGCAAAGGGUUCAGCAACCCUAGUUGCUAGUUUUUGCAUUCUUCCUUUGAGCUCACUGUGGAGUGGACUUCAGUGAUGGCCCAUGAAGCUAGAAAAGCUUAAAAAUGUUUUCUCUUCUGCUGAGUUUUCCUGACUUGCGUGUACAUCAGCAGAAGAGCCACUGAAGGGAGGAAGGGAAGAAGAGGAGAUGCCUGCGUUUCCUGUUCAUCUGCCAUGCUUGCGGGAGGGCUCAGGAGUGUGGUCCUCUUCUGUUUCAAACAUAAUAAAAACCUCUUCUAGAGAGCAAUAAAAAGCUAGCAAAUGCUAUUUUUGCUUUCCUGAUACAAGAAUCCAAGCACUUUAGAGAGAUGACUUCUUGGUUGUUGUUGUUUUGUUUUGUUUUAACAUAGACUGUGAUAAAAUACGGAGGUUUAUAUGGUGUCUAUGCACUUUAAAGAAAAAAGCCCUGACUCCGAUAGUCAGGGUGGAUGUGAGGCUAUAGAUGUAUUCCACAUACGGAAACAUGUUUUUCCAAUAAAAAGCAGGGUUUUGCUAUUCAUAGCAAUUAACGGCUCCCCAGCUAGAACCCUUAACUUGGUUCUUCUCUUGCAAAUAAAUAAAUACCUCAGCCCUUAGAGUCCUGGCUGCCCCAGAAAAGCCCAUGGUGGCUGAGCCUGGCCAUCAGUCUCACACAAGCCAGUAACACCAGUGAUAAUGUGACUGAAUUACAGUCCCAUGCUGAAGGGAGCAGCGGACCUUUGCUUGCAAACCCGACCUUUUUAAUUUAGACAAAAGGCUUGAAAAAAAUAAAAGUAGUUCUUAAAUACAGUUUAAUCAAUCAGGCGAGAGAAGCCUAAUGAAGCCGCCAGACAGAUCUGUGGCCAGACUGUCACUCCAGCCAUCAUGCCGCAGGAAGACACAAACUCCAGAGAAAUUUCCUGGCUUAGGGACGGCUGUACUUUUGACAAUCUGACAAAUCAUUUCGCUGCCAGGGUUGUGCUUCUGAAGGCCUGGUAUGUAAAAAUUUAGUUUUCUGGUGUGAAAACGAGCCACCACUCCCACAAAUGGUCUCAAUCAAACCCCAAACUGGUAAAUUUGCCUUCACCUUUUCUCCUUGUAUUUUAUCUGACGUAGGAAAACUGGCCUUUUCACUCAGACUUUCCUAAGAGGUUUUUGUUGUUGUUGUUGGUGGUGGUGGUGGUUUUUUGUUGUUGUUGUUUUGUUUUGUUUUCCCCCAAUAGCUUUCUUUUCCAGAUGGAGGACCAUUCACCCACACACCAGUGUGACAAUGCCUAUCAGGUAUUAAAUGCUGUCUAUACAAUUUAUAUGUCUACCACAUUGUGCCUUUUGUCUUCAGAGAAAAUCUGAGUAGAAAUUUUAGAAACUCCACUUCUGUGAAAUGUUGAAAUGCUGGAGUCUGGGUGAGCUUGUGUGCCAGCAUCCUGACUUAGCCCCAUUGGACACACCAAAUCCUAAUUCCCUUCUGAUACAAGUGAUCAUUGACUGUUUAGUUCAAGACUUUCAGUUGAACUUGAUUCUUCAAGAAAUUUAAACAUAUUUAUCAUUUUUCAAUAUUUUUAAAAACUGAAAAAUUUAAAAAGGAGAAUUAGUACUGCCCUGGGGGAGAGCCAGGGGCUGGCCCUCUUCCUCUCUUGUCUUUCUUUUUCCUUCCUUCCUCCCUCCCUCCCUUCCUUUUCUCCUUCCUUCUGUCCAUUUUUCCUUUCUCUGCCCAUAUUUAUUUGCUGAAAAUGGCCUGCAGUUGGGCAUAAACAAUAAUAUCCACUUUGCUUCCUCUUAUUAAUCCAGGGAUGCCCGGUCUAAUCUCCCACUCAUUUCAUGCCUGAAGCACAAAUGUAUUGCUUUGUUUUACGACAUGUUUCCUUCCAUCUGUUGGAAGCCGGGUAAGUCAAUAUUUAUCACAUUUAUAGAUUCUGCAUCCCAAGCGAGCCCAGCACAACAGGGAAACAGGCCCAUCAUUCUUUCUUCCCGAUUUUGAAGUUUAAAAAUCUUAUCUCUGUGAUGUUAAUUUCACCAUUUUCUGCUAAAAUACUGAAGUCUGUCUCAUGUUUAAGUAAAUCAUGAAAACACUACGUUUUUCAAAGUUUUUCAUUCCCCAACCCUCUGUAAUUACCGUGUCGUGAUUACCAUUUCCCUUUCACUGCGGCUCUCUGUGCAAGCCCCGGGAAAGAGUUACUAAAAAUUAAAUUUCAUGCUUGCGUGUGUUUCUGUGAUCUGCUGCGUGUAUGAUCUCGGAGUGCAAACUUCUCUCAAAAUAAAUGGAUUACCCUUUUACUACACUGUCUGAAGUCUCCUCUACUGAUAGCACGGCUUCCCUGUGAUCUCCAACCCACCACAAUCAGAAAGACAAGCGUUGAAAUGCGAGCCUCACGGUGGCGCCCUCUGCCUUCGCCGGCCCCUUCUGCAGCAUCGAGCUGCAGGGCGUUCUCAGUACCUCCUGGACCUCUCUCCCUGCAAAGGCCCCCAGGAAUCCUAACUCCCACCAGUGGAGCCCACUUCAGGAAACGCUGGCCCAAAAACCAGAAUCUUGAGUUCUCAAUGCCUUAAGAUGGACAAUUUUUGCUGGGAAAAAAAGUUUCGUCCUCAUUCCUGCUAGAAGACUGAUUGAGUGACUCUGUUAUUAAAACGAAUUUCAUAUAUCUUACAUAUCUUAAAACUGCGAAAAAUCUUGAAAGUUUCCAUGGACACACACCCAUGGAAAACCUGUUGGAGUAGCAGGUUUUCCAAAAGCAAGCGCAUGGUUUGUGGGCAGAUAGCCUCUGACCUUUACUAAAGUGUUCUGUAAAUACCAUCAUUGCUUAGUUUGUGAAAAACUAAUGUGUUCCCACUAACAAAACUGUCUCAGGGUGGCUGCUCUCUAGAAUAAUGCUUGUUUUCCUACUGGGCUUUCUAUUGCUUGAUUUUUUUUUUAAAGGCAAUUAAAUUUGUCUAAGGGAUUGUACUUUGAGGCUAUCCAAGGAAUUUUAAUCAAGAAUCAAGGAGAGAGCCAGUUUUUGAGUAGGUGUUGGAGCAGGGACAAAGUAGCAGACCUCAAAAAUAUUAAUCAGGCACAUUUUCUACUAUUACCUUCUGACUAGAGGCAGACUGUUUUCUUUCUAAAAAAAAAAAAUCUUGAAGUAAAUGUUAUAAAUAAACAAUUUGUCCUGGAAUACCAGCUCCUCUAUGCACAAGGUGACACUCAUACAACAGCAAAGUUGUAAUUGCUAUUAACACAACAAUGGCAUUGCUUCUCUCCCCAGAGCACCCAACCACCAGGGAUGUUCCUUUAAAGGGAGCACCAGGGCCGGGCGGUGGUGGCGCACGCCUUUAAUCCCAGCACUCGGGAGGCAGAGCCAGGCGGAUCUCUGUGAGUUCGAGGCCAGCCUGGACUACCAAGUGAGUUCCAGGAAAGGCGCAAAGCUACACAAAGAAACCCUGUCUCGAAAAACCAAAAAAAAAAAUAAAAAUAAAGGGAGCACCAGAACCUGUCUACAUGGCAAAUUCCAGGUCAGCCAAGGCUGCAUAGGAAGAAUGUCUCAAAACAAAACCAGGAGAGAAAGAAAAAGGGAGAAGCUCUGGAGAGGUGGCUCAGUGGUUAAGAGCACUGGCUGCUCUUGCAAAGGACCUGGGUUCAACUCCCAGCACCCGCAUGGCAUUUGCAACCAUCCAUGACUAGUUCCAGGGUAUCCAACUCCCUCUUCUGAGUUCUAUGGGGCUCCUGCACGUAUGUGGUGCACAGUCAUACAUGAAGGGAUGACAUCCAUGUGCCAAACACACAUAAAUGUUUCUAAUUAAAAAAAAAAUUAAGUAGAAGAAACACCAGAAUAAAUGAUGCCUUUAAGAAGACAAAUUCUUUAAAAAGAGAGACUUAAAAGUUAAUAAAUUGAUGGUGUUGAAACUAAGUUUAUAAUGCUGGUGUUGCCAUAACACGGCACAGCUCACUUGUUCCUGUAACAGAGCAAAGAAACCAGCCAAUUGGCAGCAAGGGAAAUCAGCCUGUGAAGCCCAAAGGUCCUAGGUAUCAACACUGUGUUCUUAGGAUUCUAAAAAGCUCCCACUCACAGGUGAGGCUGGCCCAGCUGUCUCUCUUUGCACCAACUCACACACCUAGAAAACAAAUAUGUACAGCUAGUCAUGUGCCACCGUGAAAAUGCACCGAGAAACCAACAGAAAGAAAUACAAUAAACAUGUCCUGCAAGAAGUAGACGUACAGCUCCGGGUCCUCAACAGUGCAGCUUUGUUAUAACAACCACAACACGGACAGGUAACACACAGAACCAUGUCAACACAUGGGCCAGCAGGAGCCACCAGUCAAACACCCCGCUUUGCUAAGCUUGCCUCUCCAGCCUGAGGAGACAUCGGCUGCACUAGACAGUAGCCUUGUUCAUCCCAGUAGUUCAUAGAGCUAAAGCAAUCUUCGCUCAUGAACUGAUGCUCACUUUGUUAUUAAUUUCAGUCAAGAGCUAUUUUGGUCAAUCUGAUGAUACGUUGUAUGUUUCAGAAGACUUCCAACAGCCUAAAUAUUAAAUAAAUAAAUAAAUAAAUAAAUAAAUAAAUAAAUAAAUGCCUAAAUAUUAGGAAAAUGUAUAUUUUUCUAAGAGGCUUAGUAUGUCGCAUAUGUUAAGAGCUAGGUCAUUUUAUGUCACUGUAUUUUAUGUAAUCAUUGUUUGGUAGGCUUAAAAUAUUGCACUAAGAAAAUAUGUUUAGAGUUUGAUAUAAGGUAUGUAGGGUAUGAUGGUUGCACACCUGUUAUCCCAGCCUUCAGGAGGCUGAGGCAGGAGGAUUGCUGUGAGUUAAAGGCCAGCCUGGGCUGGAGGGUAUUUGAGGAAAGUCAGGGCUACAUGGUGAGACACUGUCUCACAAAACCAAAUAUACGUGUGUUUGUACAAAUCAUAAACCAUGCCUUUAAUUUCAGUCAUCAAUUUAAAAAAAGAAAGAAAAAUGAAGACUUUAGGACUUUAGUUUGUUAGUCGGAACGAGGCAGCUGGCUGGGUUGUGUUUUCUCUUCUCCAGCCCCUUAGUACCUGAGUCCGGCCCUGACACACAGCAAGUGCUCAAUACACAUUGGCUGAGUGAAUGGCUGGCUGUGUGGGGGUAGCAUUAAGUUGAUAAAAAGGUAUUCACUUGAGUCUUGUCAGCUGUGUGAAAACUGAGUGCGGUUCUCACGGGUUAAUCAGACUGAUUUUGAUGUUUGCCUUUCUUCACGUGUUGACUGCACCUGGCCUUGUUCAUUCUGUGUGUCUUGGAAAGCUUCUCCUUCCCAAAGGGCUGUGCCUGAGACGUCCUCUUGAGGGAAGCUAUUGGUGGUCGAUCGAUCAUAAGGAGCCUGUGAGUUCAUAGAUACAAUCUUGCUUUUAGGCCUUCCUCCUUAUAAACUUAUUUUUUUUUUCCUGGAAGCAGGAAGUGUGUUUUCCUCUGCUAUCUACAGAAUUAAAGUGCAAUGUGUGUGUGCACCAGGUGAGUGUGACACACCAUUUAGCCUGAGCUGGACCUGAAGUUUGUUAGAGGAAGUAUCUUCUAGAAUUCUAGGGAAGAAUGAAGGAUAAGGUUCUCUUGGAACAUCAUUCUUUUAUGAAAUCUCAAUUUCAGAUAUGUCCAG